AGGAGCUCGGGUUCUGCCGGAAGGGGUGGGGCCGAGUGAGGUCAGGCUACAGCAGUGGGAGGGGCGUGAGGUCAGCCUGCGGCAGUUGGUGGCAUUCCCACACCCGUCAGGGGAGAGCCGCCUGCCUGAGAAGGAGGGCACUGCUGAGCCCAGGGGUUGAGAGCGACAGUUCCUGCCGUGGUCCCGGAGCUCCACCUGAGACUGGAGGGAAGCCAUCUGCCUUUGAGAGCGUGAUUAGGAGUAGCACUCGAACGAUGUAGUUUGUUAGAAGAAUUAGGUGCCACACAUAAAGAGGUUGAUCAAAGAAGAGAAGGAGAACACGGAGCAGCGGGCUGAGGAGACUGAGAGCAGGGAGGGCAGGGGGAGCUUAGGCAGCCUCCCUCGUUUUAAAUCAGUGAGCUCCCUCAACCUGCAUCCCGCCUCCUCAGGUGCCAGCUCCUGCCUGCCCCUGCCCAAGCCCAGAAGGAGGCAGCACCGCCCGGCACGGGAAGGAGACCGGCUGGGCAUCCUGACUCGGCUGCCAGCUUUACAGGAAGAGGUAGGAGAUGACAAGACCGCCAUCAAAUGUGAAACGUCGACCCCUGCCUCGCCGUGGUCCCUUCGGCUGGACCGCCUGCACACAGGGUCGCUGUGCACAGCCACCCACAGGGACAUCAGGGACGCCCACAACUCGACAGGCUCUCAGGACAACCCCGGGAACAACCCCAGCAGCAGCACCAGCAGGCAGGACUCGCUGCACAAAGCCCCGAAGAAGAAGGGCAUGAAGUCCUCCAUCGGCCGCUUGUUUUGCAAGAAGGAAAAGGGCCGGCUUGAAUACCCCGGCAAGGAGGCGUUAGGACCAGUGACACGUGUUUGGAAACAGCCUAAGUGCUCAUCAGUGAAUGGUGAAGUGCAAUCUGUGGACACCCCACAAGGAACAGCCUGCCCUCCUUCCUGCCACCUUCCCCAUCCCCAGGAGCUCAUCAGGGGUUCUGCUCGUGUCCCCUCACCCCACCCCACAGCCACGCAGGUCCUCCUGGGGUCCCCUCAUCACACAGGGUUAUCAUUAGGCCCUCAUCUCGCUUGGCUUCUUCUCCUUGAGGACAGGGUAUGUUCCUGCCUCCUCAGCCACAAAUUUGUUGAGUCUUGUUUGUGCUGGGUGUGGGAUUUACAGGGGUAAGUAGAGCAGAUGUGGUCUGGAGCACAGUUAAGUGACGAGAGAAAAAGGAGCAGGUUAUUAAAUGCUAUCCGUAUUGUUAAUAAAUACAACGCUGAGAUGGAUGGUACAUGAUUAUAUACCAGAUGCUGUGUGUGCUCCUUACCAAGCAGGUGCUGUCCCCUCCCAAUU
rnacentral:lncRNA from 1 species